rnacentral:rRNA from 1 species
AACGAACGCUGGCGGCAGGCUUAACACAUGCAAGUCGAGCGCCCCGCAAGGGGAGCGGCAGACGGGUGAGUAACGCGUGGGAAUCUACCCAUCUCUACGGAAUAACGCAUGGAAACGUGUGCUAAUACCGUAUACGUCCUUCGGGAGAAAGAUUUAUCGGAGAUGGACGAGCCCGCGUUGGAUUAGCUAGUUGGUGGGGUAAAGGCCUACCAAGGCGACGAUCCAUAGCUGGUCUGAGAGGAUGAUCAGCCACACUGGGACUGAGACACGGCCCAGACUCCUACGGGAGGCAGCAGUGGGGAAUAUUGGACAAUGGGCGCAAGCCUGAUCCAGCCAUGCCGUGUGAGUGAUGAAGGCCCUAGGGUUGUAAAGCUCUUUCACCGGUGAAGAUAAUGACGGUAACCGGAGAAGAGGCCCCGGCUAACUUCGUGCCAGCAGCCGCAGUAACAC